GAACGCUGGCGGCAUGCUUUACACAUGCAAGUCGAACGGCAGCACGGGCUUCGGCCUGGUGGCGAGUGGCGAACGGGUGAGUAAUAUAUCGGAACGUACCCAGAAGUGGGGGAUAACGUAGCGAAAGUUACGCUAAUACCGCAUACGAUCUACGGAUGAAAGUGGGGGACCUUCGGGCCUCAUGCUUUUGGAGCGGCCGAUAUCUGAUUAGCUAGUUGGUAGGGUAAAGGCCUACCAAGGCGACGAUCAGUAGCUGGUCUGAGAGGACGACCAGCCACACUGGAACUGAGACACGGUCCAGACUCCUACGGGAGGCAGCAGUGGGGAAUUUUGGACAAUGGGCGCAAGCCUGAUCCAGCAAUGCCGCGUGAGUGAAGAAGGCCUUCGGGUUGUAAAGCUCUUUUGUCAGGGAAGAAACGGCUGAGAAUAAUACUCUUGGCUAAUGACGGUACCUGAAGAAUAAGCACCGGCUAACUACGUGCCAGCAGCCGCGGUAAUACGUAGGGUGCAAGCGUUAAUCGGAAUUACUGGGCGUAAAGCGUGCGCAGGCGGUUUUGUAAGUCUGAUGUGAAAGCCCCGGGCUCAACCUGGGAAUUGCAUUGGAGACUGCAAGGCUUGAAUCUGGCAGAGGGGGGUAGAAUUCCACGUGUAGCAGUGAAAUGCGUAGAGAUGUGGAGGAACACCGAUGGCGAAGGCAGCCCCCUGGGUCAAGAUUGACGCUCAUGCACGAAAGCGUGGGGAGCAAACAGGAUUAGAUACCCUGGUAGUCCACGCCCUAAACGAUGUCUACUAGUUGUCGGGUUUUAAUUAACUUGGUAACGCAGCUAACGCGUGAAGUAGACCGCCUGGGGAGUACGGUCGCAAGAUUAAAACUCAAAGGAAUUGACGGGGACCCGCACAAGCGGUGGAUGAUGUGGAUUAAUUCGAUGCAACGCGAAAAACCUUACCUACCCUUGACAUGGAAGGAAUCCUGGAGAGAUCUGGGAGUGCCCGAAAGGGAACCUUCACACAGGUGCUGCAUGGCUGUCGUCAGCUCGUGUCGUGAGAUGUUGGGUUAAGUCCCGCAACGAGCGCAACCCUUGUCGUUA
rnacentral:rRNA from 1 species